rnacentral:rRNA from 1 species
GAUGAACGCUGGCGGCGUGCCUAAUACAUGCAAGUCGAGCGAAUGGAUUAAGAGCUUGCUCUUAUGAAGUUAGCGGCGGACGGGUGAGUAACACGUGGGUAACCUGCCCAUAAGACUGGGAUAACUCCGGGAAACCGGGGCUAAUACCGGAUAACAUUUUGAACCGCAUGGUUCGAAAUUGAAAGGCGGCUUCGGCUGUCACUUAUGGAUGGACCCGCGUCGCAUUAGCUAGUUGGUGGGGUAACGGCUCACCAAGGCAACGAUGCGUAGCCGACCUGAGAGGUGGAUCGGCCACACUGGGACUGGGACACGGCCCAGACUCCUACGGGAGGCAGCAGUAGGGAAUCUUCCGCAAUGGACGAAAGUCUGACGGAGCAACGCCGCGUGAGUGAUGAAGGCUUUCGGGUCGUAAAACUCUGUUGUUAGGGAAGAACAAGUGCUAGUUGAAUAAGCUGGCACCUUGACGGUACCUAACCAGAAAGCCACGGCUAACUACGUGCCAGCCGCCGCAGUAA